rnacentral:rRNA from 1 species
AUUGAACGCUGGCGGCAGGCCUAACACAUGCAAGUCGAGCGGAUGAGUGGAGCUUGCUCCAUGAUUCAGCGGCGGACGGGUGAGUAAUGCCUAGGAAUCUGCCUGGUAGUGGGGGACAACGUUUCGAAAGGAACGCUAAUACCGCAUACGUCCUACGGGAGAAAGCAGGGGACCUUAGGGCCUUGCGCUAUCAGAUGAGCCUAGGUCGGAUUAGCUAGUAGGUGAGGUAAUGGCUCACCUAGGCGACGAUCCGUAACUGGUCUGAGAGGACGAUCAGUCACACUGGAACUGAGACACGGUCCAGACUCCUACGGGAGGCAGCAGUGGGGAAUAUUGGACAAUGGGCGAAAGCCUGAUCCAGCCAUGCCGCGUGUGUGAAGAAGGUCUUCGGAUUGUAAAGCACUUUAAGUUGGGAGGAAGGGCAGUAAGUUAAUACCUUGCUGUUUUGACGUUACCAGCAGAAUAAGCACCGGCUAACUUCGUGCCAGCAGCCGCCGUAACAC